AGCUCCUUCUCGUCUAGACAGAAGACCGUCUCUCUCUUGGGCAGGAUGAAGGCGAGAGGCUCCUGGACGACGCUGACGUCCACGUGCCCGAGGUUUCCGUACUUGGAGAGCUGAGUGGGUGGAACGCCUGACCCAUGGUCUGUGCUAUCUGAGCUGGUGGAAAAAGGACUUGGAGACAGCGAUUUAAAUAAGGAACCAGGUCUUCCAGGAAGACAGUGCAGAACUGGACGAAAAUCUCUUGCUCCCCACUGCUGAAGGCAGCCUCUUCAGCACGAUGGAAGGCCAGGAUUAUUUUGGUUACCUAAGAGACAAGGACACCAUCAAUCACUGGGGUAGUCUAUCACCAUCAGUAGUGCAUGAAACUAAGCACAAAUGUGCAUCCCUCAAGUUUUCACGAAGAAAGGAGUUCCAAACAGUACAUUAUAUCACUAUCUUGUUUAAAUUCAGACUUGUGGUCAAUCUCCAGAGUGCUGCCACUUCAUUGGUGUAUUUCUGACCCAACUUGUUUCAUUAAUGGAACAGUGUCCAGUUCCAGUGGAAGAGCAUCAUGAAAUUAUACAGAGACUACACUGUGCUUGACUCCCAUGGGAGAUGGACUAGAACUAUAUUGGAUCCAGGAAAAUGAAGCAAAUCUCUAAAAGGUUUCCACUGAGUAAGGCCUUUGAGGUUACAGGAAGCUAGGACCACUAGAAAAUUGUAAAGAAGAAAACAGCUGGAAAGAAAGUUCCAUAUAUAAAUAACAGAGCAGCCUACGUGACAUUACAGACAGGAGUCACAGUCACAGGGUUAAGAAUAGACUCAGGUGCUGGACAUCCUGGGUUCAAGUCCCAGCUGUGCCACUUAGUGGUUCUGUGACUUGCAAAUGAUUAUUUAAGUACUCCAUGCCCUCUGUGCCUCAGUUUCUUCAUCUAAAGUAGGGCCAACAACAGGACCUACUUCAUAGGGUUGUGAUGAUCAGGUCUUAAAAUACAUGUAAAAUAUGAUGAAUGCUACCUGGCACAAAGAGAACAUCAAUAGAAAGAUUUUAUACAACCACAUCACAACUGCCACUUGGCUGACGAUUUAUAAGAUGUCAUCCAUUUUAAGAAGCAUCCCCAUAUAUAAAGAUUUAAAUGUGUAGAAAAUGUGCACCAUACUAGGAUAUUAGUAGUGGUAGUACUGUUACUUGUGUUAGGCAGAAUUCUCAGACGGCUUUUGUGAUUCCCGCCCCUUGCUAUCCACUCCUUUUUGUAAUCUCCUCCCCUUGAGUGCAGACACAAUCUGUGGCUUGUUUCUAACCAACAGAGUCUGGCACAAAGGUGAAGGAUUUUGCAGAUGUAAUUAAAGUCCCUAAUCAGUUAACUCUGAAUUAAUCAAGAGGGAGAUUAUCCUAGGUAGGCCUGACUUAAUCAGAUGAGCCUCUUAAAGGAGGGUUGAGAACAUCCCUAAAAGAGACUCAGGAAGGAGGGAUGUCUCCUGUUGGCCUUGAAGAAUCAAAAAGCCACAACAUGAACUGCCUAUGGAGUGGGGCGGCCUCUAGGUGCUGAAGGCCUAGUCCUACAACUGUAAGGAACAGAAAUCAGCCAAUGUGAAUGAGCUUAAGAGGGGACCCCGAGCUCCAGAUGAGACCACAGCUUGGCUGACACUGAUUGUAAUCUUGUGAGCAGAGCACCCAGUUUGCUGUGCCUGGACUCCUGACACACAGAAACUGGACAUGAGGGGCUGGCCCCAUGGCCAAGUGGUUAAGUUCGUGCAUUCCACUUCGGCGGCCCAGGGUUUUGCUGGUUUGGAUCCU